GUGAUUAUAGCUCAGUUGGUUAGAGCGCUGGAUUGUGAUUCCAGAGGUCGCCGGUUCAAAUCCGGUUAGUCACCCA
rnacentral:tRNA from 1 species